UCGUGGCAGGCUGGUUUGGUCUGUGUAUCUUCCAUUCAUUGGUUAAUUGAUUCAAAAGACGACGUGAAAAAACGAAAACGGCUCGUUUCUGAAUUUGAAAAUCGGAAAAUGGCUUUUUUCCUUUAUUCCUUUCCUUUAUAUAACACUUUAUUUCCGAUUUUCGUUUUGUUUGGGGGGAUGUUUACAGCACAAAUGAUUUAUUGUGUGACAGGAAGAUAAAAAUGCUCAUGUUAGCUAAGAUGCAGAACUUCUCAUGAAGUUAGCUUGCCAAUAGAACAAUCUCUACAUCUGCACAGAGUUGGUUUGCAGUAGCUGGCUAGCUAGCACUGGCUGGCUAUUGACUAGCUAACAGGCUGGCUAGCUAGCCCUACAUGACCACUGGCUAUAGUCAUGCUAACUAGUAGUAGCAAGUGGAAGUAAGUUAGCCUCUCAACAUGCUACAAGAUGAAGCUGCCCGGGCAGAGCUACCUGCUGAAGAAGCAGGAGAAGGGCACAGUAUUGCAUCUGAGCAGAUCAUCAUGAACUUCAUGUAGUUACAUCAGCCGAUACAGACCAUUCACACAGUUCAGUCACUCAGCCCUAUCCAGUCGACAUGAUAUUCUCAAGGUCCUGCACUACUGUCUCCUACAACACCCUGAUGCGAAGCAAUAAGCCUGGCCCCAUGACUUUCACUCACAGAUAGUAUGUAGGCUGGUUGAUGGCACCUGCAGGCCUGUUUGAGGAACAACUGGACAGAACAUAUCAGAAUGCUUGGACCUCAGCUGAGACCCUCCCCUCCUCCCCCAUCUUUCAAGGAAAGCCCUUUACACUUCCUGUUAUGCAUGAUGCUCUCAAGGUGUCUCCAUCUCUCAUGUCUUGUGGUAGUACCUACAGUGUAUUCAGAAAGGAUUCAGAACCCUUGACUUUUUCCACAUUUUGUUACGUUACAGCCUUAUUCUAA